rnacentral:rRNA from 1 species
GAUGAACGCUAGCGGCAGGCUUAAUACAUGCAAGUCGUGGGGCAGCGCAGGUAGCAAUACUGGGCGGCGACCGGCAAACGGGUGCGGAACACGUACACAACCUUCCGAGAAGUGGGGAAUAGCCCAGAGAAAUUUGGAUUAAUACCCGUAACAUAACGAUGUGGCAUCACAUUGUUAUUAUAGCUUCGGCGCUUCUUGAUGGGUGUGCGGCUGAUUAGAUAGUUGGCGGGGUAACGGCCCACCAAGUCUACGAUCAGUAGCUGAUGUGAGAGCAUGAUCAGCCACACGGGCACUGAGACACGGGCCCGACUCCUACGGGAGGCAGCAGUAAGGAAUAUUGGUCAAUGGACGCAAGUCUGAACCAGCCAUGCCGCGUGAAGGAUUAAGGUCCUCUGGAUUGUAAACUUCUUUUAUCUGGGACGAAAAAAAGGCGAUUCUUCAUCACUUGACGGUACCAGAUGAAUAAGCACCGGCUAACUCCGUGCCAGCAGCCG